rfam:Dipodomys ordii contig_58867, whole genome shotgun sequence.
GGGAAGGUGGCUCAGUGGUAGAGUGCUUGCCUUGCAUGCAUGAGGCCCUAGGGUCGAUUCCUUAUUACCA